rnacentral:rRNA from 1 species
UGGGCGUAAAGGGCGCGCAGGCGGUUUCUUAAGUCUGAUGUGAAAGCCCCCGGCUCUUCCGUGGAGGGUCAUUGGAAACUGGGGAACUUGAGUGCCCAUAAGAAAAGCGGAAUUCCCCGUGUAGCGGUGAAAUGCGUAAAGAUGUGGAGGAAACCCCUUGGGGAAGGGGGCUUUUUGGUUUGUAACUGACCUUGAGGGCCGAAAACGGGGGGG